rnacentral:misc_RNA from 1 species
GAUGAAGAACGCAGCGAAAUGCGAUAAGUAAUGUGAAUUGCAGAAUUCAGUGAAUCAUCGAAUCUUUGAACGCGCAUUGCGCCCCUUGGUAUUCCGAGGGGCAUGCCUGUUCGAGCGUCAUUAUAACCCCUCAAGCUCAGCUUGGUGUUGGGGCCUGCUGCACUGGCAGCCCUUAAAAUCAGUGGCGGCGCCAUCUGGCUCUAAGCGUAGUAAUUCUUCUCGCUAUGGAGUCCUGGUGGAUGCUUGCCAUCAACCCCCAAUUUUUCUAUGGUUGACCUCGGAUCAGGUAGGGAUACCCGCUGAACUUAAGCAUAUCAAUAAGCGGAGGA